GAUGAAGAACGCAGCGAAAUGCGAUAAGUAAUGUGAAUUGCAGAAUUCAGUGAAUCAUCGAAUCUUUAAACGCACAUUGCGCCCGUCAGUAUUCUGGCGGGCAUGCCUGUUCGAGCGUCAUUACGCCCCUCAAGUCCCCUGUGGACUUGGUGUUGGGGAUCGGCGAGGCUGGUUUUCCAGCACAGCCGUCCCUUAAAUUAAUUGGCGGUCUCGCCGUGGCCCUCCUCUGCGCAGUAGUAAAACACUCGCAACAGGAGCCCGGCGCGGUCCACUGCCGUAAAACCCCCCAACUUUUUAUAGUUGACCUCGAAUCAGGUAGGACUACCCGCUGAACUUAAGCAUAUCAAUAAGCGGAGGA
rnacentral:misc_RNA from 1 species